rnacentral:rRNA from 1 species
GAUGAACGCUGGCGGCGUGCCUAAUACAUGCAAGUCGAGCGAACAGAUGAGGAGCUUGCUCCUCUGACGUUAGCGGCGGACGGGUGAGUAACACGUGGAUAACCUACCUAUAAGACUGGGAUAACUUCGGGAAACCGGAGCUAAUACCGUAUAAUAUAUUGAACCGCAGGGUUCAAUAGUGAAAGACGGUUUUGCUGGCACUUAUAGAUGGAUCUGCGCCGCAUUAGCUAGUUGGUAAGGUAACGGGUUACCAAGGCAACGAUGCGUAGCCGACCUGAGAGGGUGAUCGGCCACCCUGGAACUGAGACACGGUCAAGACUCCUACGGGAGGCCGCAGUAGGGAAUGUUCCGCAAUGGGCGAAAGCCUGACGGAGCAACGCCGCGUGAGUGAUGAAGGUCUUCGGAUCGUAAAACUCUGUUAUUAGGGAAGAACAAAUGUGUAAGUAACUAUGCACGUCUUGACGGUACCUAAUCAGAAAGCCACGGCUAACUACGUG